rnacentral:lncRNA from 1 species
UCCGACCACACACAUAACAAAAACGAGCACCACCUUCCUCUUUCUUCUUCUUCUGCUCCUGGGAUUGAAUAGGCUUCCCAUUGUAGUGGUGGUUAGGGUUUCUAGGGUUGUAGGGUUUCUUCUUGAAAUUCUUACGGAAGGGUCGGUUCUGAUUUUUCUUAGGAGGAGCCUCUACAUUAUAUGCAUUAUUCUUAGGUCCAGUAGAGGUAUUAUUUCUGAGCCUAUGUUGCUCUUCAAUCCUA